GCAAGUCGAACGCGAAAACUUCUUCGGAAGCAAGUAGAGUGGCGCACGGGUGAGUAACGCGUAGAUAACCUACCUCCAAGUUUGGGACAACCUUUCGAAAGGAGGGCUAAUACCGGAUAAUACUCUUUGCCUACUGGCUUUGAGUUGAAAGAUUUAUCGCUUGGGAAUGGGUCUGCGUAACAUUAGCUAGUUGGUAAGGUAACGGCUUACCAAGGCUACGAUGUUUAGCGGGUCUGAGAGGGGGAUC
rnacentral:rRNA from 1 species